rnacentral:ncRNA from 1 species
AAGAGCACGGUACGAUGAAAGUUGAAAGCUGUGUUCGGGGGGAGUUAUUGUCUAUCGUUUGCUUGUAUGGUAGAAUUAGUCAAGGGGCCUGAGAGGCGGUGGCUUACCCUGU